rnacentral:rRNA from 1 species
CCUACGGGGGGCAGCAGUGGGGAAUAUUGGACAAUGGACGCAAGUCUGAUCCAGCAAUGCCGCGUGAGUGAUGAAGGCCUUAGGGUUGUAAAGCUCUUUUACCAGGGAUGAUAAUGACAGUACCUGGAGAAUAAGCUCCGGCUAACUACGUGCCAGCAGCCGCGGUAAUACGUAGGGGGCAAGCGUUAUCCGGAAUCACUGGGUGUAAAGGGUGCGUAGGCGGUAGGGCAAGUCAGAUGUGAAAGCCCGGGGCUCAACCCCGGGAUUGCAUUUGAAACUGUCUUACUAGAGUGCAGGAGAGGAAAGCGGAAUUCCUAGUGUAGCGGUGAAAUGCGUAGAUAUUGGGAGGAACACCAGUUGCGAAGGCGGCUCUCUGGACUGUAACUGACGCUGAGGCACGAAAGCGUGGGGAGCGAACAGGAUUAGAUACCCUAGUAGUC